GAAGCGAGCAUGUGAAUGUGAGCAAAUCCCAAAAUAACGUCUCAGUUCGGAUUGUAGUCUGCAACUCGACUACAUGAAGCUGGAAUCGCUAGUAAUCGCGAAUCAGAAUGUCGCGGUGAAUACGUUCCCGGGUCUUGUACACACCGCCCGUCACACCAUGGGAGUCAGUAACGCCCGAAGCCGGUGACCCAACCAAACGGAGGGAGCCGUCGAAGGUGGGACCGAUAACUGGGGUGAAGUCGUAACAAGGUAUC
rnacentral:rRNA from 1 species